rnacentral:misc_RNA from 1 species
UGGAAACACGGUGCCGGAUAACGUCCGGCGAGGGCGACCUCAGGGAAAGUGCCGCAGAAAGCAAACCGCCCCGGUUUUCCGGGGUAAGGGUGAAAGGGUGGGGUAAGAGCCCACCGCAGGGCUGGCAACAGCCACUGGCAUGGUAAACCCCACCGGGAGCAAGACCGAAUAGGGAUGGCACGGGCCGCUUGCGGCCCAGUUGGUUUCCAGACCGGCCAUCCGGGUGGGUCGCGAGAGGCGGCGCGCAAGCGUCGUCCCAGAUGAAUGGCUGCCACGUUCCGGGAAACCGGAG